CGGUGCUGUGCUCAGUGGAUGGUGUUCGUUUGGUUGGAAAAGAAGGACUUGGCCGAAUGGAAAGGAGAGAAGUAGUUGGGCCGCUCUUACAGAUCUUCACGAUUUCCAGCCACAUGCAUGACGGGGACACAGUCUGAGCAGCAGCUGCACACCCCAUCAUCUCACACGAUAGAUCAUCGCAACAGAGGUUUCAGUAUUCUGUCUCCAUGUAUGUAUGGCAUCAUAUGCAUGAGGUGGUAGAAGAGGUCAGGCCAGGCCACCUGAUCACCUGGAACUGAGUUACAGGAGUUAAGGAUUCUGGGCAAACUUUUCCUUUGCUAUUUAGAGCUAUACACUGCAGAUGCUGCUCCACAUUGCUUCUUAAAGAAGACUUUGUGCUCUGUUGAUGCUGAAUCAUUAUUACUGAAAAUAUAAACCACUUGCAGAUGGGAGGCUUCCUGUACUCUGAGACUGUUUCUCAUGCCGACGUGGGGACGAGGAAAUGGCAGAACGGGUGUGCUACUGAAAUCGAUUGCCAGGCAUUUUGUGGAUCACAACAAUGAAUUAAAUAAAAAUAACUUAUGUGAAGAGCAUUACAAAUUACCGAGUUGGCGAUGGGAGUGUGGGGUUGUCCAGGCUGUGUGGAGAACUUUGAGGGCUGAACAACUGUGAAUACUGUUCCUUCUUGGUAACAUGACCUACAUCCACUGUUAUUAGACAUGUUCAGUGACGUCUGAUCAUGAAAGUGGAGUCAAAAAGAAAAAAAAAAAUCCCCAAACUUAUAAAGUUCAAAAUACAUAAGCUGUGUAAUUACUGCUCUAUGAUCACUUUGGGAUCGGGAUAACUGUUAUUAUUUCCUUGUGUUUAAAUGGAGGAUGGGAUGCCUUUAUCUCAAGGCAGUAUCUGCUUUUACUAUGUGUUCAGGUUGGUUUGUCCCCAAAUGAGUGCUCUGAAUGGCAUAAAUCACAAUGAAUCUCCCUUUUCUCUGCAUGUUUGGACUAUGAGGGACAUCUGACUAAACACUGACCCACAAGACAGAAGGAGGGUAAGGUUUCAGCAGAAAUUGUGCAACGUGCCCUGCUCCAGAUGCAGGAAAGUAAAGAAGAAACUAUUUGGUCUUACCAGAGAUGCUAGAUUUUGUUAAAUGGAUAAUUCUUUGGUUUGCAUUUGAGACCAAAACCAUGGUCAGAACUUAAUUCACGGAAAAGCACAGCUGUAGCUUCGAAUUUGGUUCCAGUAAGAAAAUUUAACUUCCUUGUUAUUCACCCCAGACUGGGACCACUCUGUCAUUCUGCCAGCUGACGUGAAUGUGGGUUUGCAAUCCCGUUCCUACAAGUGUCCUUUGACAUCCCAAAGCUCUAUGCUUUGUCUCCCUGUAUGCUUCACAGUGAAAUGUCCUGCAAAAGGGAGCUUUAUUUGCUAGCUGUAAUGUUUGUAAAGUGAGCACUUGUGGGCUCAUAGGCAGCUUUUGUUACUAAGCAGCACUCAUCAUAGGCCACUGUAUUCUUCACAUCAAUACUGACAUUAGAAUUCACCAAGUACAUCUAGGUUGUUUCCAGGUUCUGGCUAUUACAAAUAAUGCUGCUAUGAACAUAGUUGAACAAAUGCCCCUGUCAUAUGAUCGGGCAUCUCUUGGGUAUAUUCCCAAGAGUGGCAUUCCUGGGUCCAGGGGUAGGUUGAUCCCGAAUUUCCUGAGAAACCGCCACACUGCUUUCCAAAGUGGUUGCACAAGUUUGCAUUCCC